rnacentral:rRNA from 1 species
GAUGAACGCUGGCGGCGUGCCUAAUACAUGCAAGUCGAGCGAACAGACGAGGAGCUUGCUCCUCUGACGUUAGCGGCGGACGGGUGAGUCACACGUGGAUAACCUACCUCUAAGACUGGGAUAACUUCGGGAAACCGGAGCUAAUACCGGAUAAUAUAUUGAACCGCAUGGUUCAAUAGUGAAAGACGGUUUUGCUGUCACUUAUAGCUGGAUCCGCGCCGCAUUAGCGAGUUGGUAAGGUAACGGCUUACCAAGGCGACGAUGCGUAGCCGACCUGCGAGGGUGAUCGGCCACAGUGGGACUGAGACACGGUCCAGACUCUUACGGGAGGCAGCAGUAGGGAAUCUUCCGCAAUGGGCGAAAGCCUGACGGAGCAGCGCCGCGUGAGUGAUGAAGGUCUUCGGAGCGUAAAACUCUGUUAUGAUGGAAGAACAAUUGUGUAAGUAACUAUGCACGUCUUGACGGUACCUAAUCAGAAAGCCACGGCUAACUACGUG